rnacentral:rRNA from 1 species
UAGGGAAUCUUCGGCAAUGGGGGCAACCCUGACCGAGCAACGCCGCGUGAGUGAAGAAGGUUUUCGGAUCGUAAAGCUCUGUUGUAAGAGAAGAACGUGUGUGAGAGUGGAAAGUUCACACAGUGACGGUAACUUACCAGAAAGGGACGGCUAACUACGUGCCAGCAGCCGCGGUAAUACGUAGGUCCCGAGCUUUGUCCGGAUUUAUUGGGCUUAAAGCGAGCGCAGGCGGUUUAAUAAGUCUGAAGUUAAAGGCAGUGGCUUAACCAUUGUUCGCUUUGGAAACUGUUAAACUUGAGUGCAGAAGGGGAGAGUGGAAUUCCAUGUGUAGCGGUGAAAUGCGUAGAUAUAUGGAGGAACACCGGUGGCGAAAGCGGCUCUCUGGUCUGUAACUGACGCUGAGGCUCGAAAGCGUGGGGAGCAAACAGG